AGGCACCGGCCUACUUCGUGCCAGCAGUCGCGGUAUUACGGAGGGUGCCAAGCGUUAUCUGGAUUAUUGGGUUAAGGGUCCGUAGGCGGGACUGAUAGUCAGUGUGAAAUCCGACAGCUUAAACUGUCGAAACUGCCAUUGAUACUGUUAGUCUUGAGUAAGGGUUGAAAGUGGCUGGAAUAAGUAGUGUAGCGGUGAAAUGCAUAGAUAUUACUUAGAACACCAAUUGCGAAGGCAGGUCACUAAGUCUUAACUGACGCUGAUGGACGAAAGCGUGGGGAGCGAACAGGAUUAGAUACCCUGGUAGUCCACGCCGUAAACGAUGAUUACUCGUUUUUGGGUUUUAUGAUUCAGAGACUAAGCGAAAGUGAUAAGUAAUCCACCUGGGGAGUACGUUCGCAAGAAUGAAACUCAAAGGAAUUGACGGGGGCCCGCACAAGCGGUGGAGCAUGUGGUUUAAUUCGAUGAUACGCGAGGAACCUUACCAAGACUUAAAUGGGAAAUGACAGAUUUAGAAAUAGAUCCUUCUUCGGACAUUUUUCAAGGUGCUGCAUGGUUGUCGUCAGCUCGUGCCGUGAGGUGUUAGGUUAAGUCCUGCAACGAGCGCAACCCCUGUCACUAGUUGCUAACAUUAAGUUGAGGACUCUAGUGAGACUGCCUACGCAAGUAGAGAGGAAGGUGGGGAUGACGUCAAAUCAUCACGGCCCUUACGUCUUGGGCCACACACGUGCUACAAUGGCCGGUACAGAGGGCAGCUACCUAGUGAUAGGAUGCAAAUCUCGAAAGCCGGUCUCAGUUCGGAUUGGAGUCUGCAACUCGACUCUAUGAAGCUGGAAUCGCUAGUAAUCGCGCAUCAGCCAUGGCGCGAUGGGG
rnacentral:rRNA from 1 species